rnacentral:rRNA from 1 species
GAUGAACGCUGGCGGCGUGCCUAAUACAUGCAAGUCGAGCGAACAGUUGAGGCUCUUGCUCCUUUCACGUUAGCGGCGGACGGGUGAGUAACACGUGGAUAACCUACCUAUCAGACUGGGAUAACUUCGGGAAACCGGAGCUAAUCCCGUAGAAUAUAUUGAACCGCGGGGUUCAAUAGUGAAAGACGGUUUUGCUGUCACUUAUAGAUGGAUCCGCGCCGCAUUAGCUAGUUGGUAGGGUAAAGGCUUACCAAGGCAACGAUGCGUUGCCGACCUGAGAGGGUGGUAGCCCACACGGGAAGUGAGACACGGUCCAGACUCCUACGGGAGGCAGCAGUAGGGAAUCUUCCGCAAUGGGCGAAAGCCUGACGGAGCAGGGCCGCGUGAGUGAUGAAGGUCUUCGGAGCGUAAAGCUCGCUUAUUAGGGAAGAACAAAUGUGGAAGGAACUAUGCCCGUCGUGACGGUACCUAAUCAGAAAGCCACGGCUAACUACGUG